rnacentral:rRNA from 1 species
GAUGAACGCUGGCGGCGUGCCUAACACAUGCAAGUCGAGCGAACAGACCCUGAGCUUGCUCCUUUGACGUUAGGCGAGGACGGGUGAGUAACAUGUGUAUAACCCCCCUAUAAUACUGGGAUAACUUCGAGAAACCGGAGCUAAUCCCGUAUAAUCUCUUUAACCACAUUGGUGGAUAGUGAAUGACGGCUUUUGUGUCACUUCUAGCUGGAUCCCCGCCGCAUUAUCUAGUUGUGAAGGUUACGGCUUAUCAAGGCAACGAUGCGUAGCCGAACUGAGCGGGUGAUCGGCCACACUGGAAGUGAGACAAGGACCAGAGUCCUACAGGAGGCAGCAGUCGGGAAUGUUCCGCAAUGGGCGAAAGCAUGACGGAGUAAGGGCGCGUGAGAGAUGAAGGUCUUCGGAGCGUAAAACUGUGUUAUUAGUGGAGAACCACUGUGUAAGGAACUAUGCACUUCGUGACGGUACCUAAUCAGAAAGCCACGGCUAACUACGUG